rnacentral:misc_RNA from 1 species
UUGAAGAGUUUACAGAUCCUCCAACAAUGAUUGAUUUGCCUAUCGCUAUGACCAGACAUAUCAAAAUUCCAUCUCUUCAAAGCCGCAACAAAAUUAUUUAUUUUAUAGGAACCAACUAGACAAAAUAGUGCGUACGGUGAUUAGUGAAACACUGUGCAGUGGAACAAAUAGAGAAAUUGAGGAAGGCAGGAUAGUUCCAAUAGCUCUGCUCCAGAUGUAACAAUCUCUUCAGCUUCUUCGGGUAUCUACGAGUGGUUGGUUCCUUGUGAUCUUUGGGAGGGA